rnacentral:lncRNA from 1 species
AUUUCUGUUGAUUUAUAGCUUAGUCGGUUUACAUGGUUCAGUUUUGUGUUAUUAUCUGAGUUUUCAGUUGGUUUUGGAAUGUAAUAAAGAAUUUGUGUUUUCUUGAAAUAAAAAUGGUUUUCUACCCCUCUUGGUAGCGUUUUAAAAAGAUAAAAGUUCCUGUGUAGGGAACAGUUUUCAAAGGGUUUUUCUGUGAUUUUGUAUCUUAGUAUUUCAAAACCUGUUUCUGUGGUUGGAAACAUUUUAACUGAUAGAUGUGAAUAUAUGUUUAAAUAUUGAUUGGAAAAAUGUGAAUCUGUGGUGAAUGGUGUAUGAAUAUAUAACUGUGGUUAUUUGUAUGUUCAUCUGGUUGUGGUUGUAUCAUGUUUGAACUCUUGUACUUAUGCGACGCCGUGCAAAUACAGGGGAGACUCUGUCCGUGUGAACAGUGGAUCUCCUGUAUUUGUGGCGGAUCUGGCAUACCCUGGGGUCAGGUUUUAAAAAAAAAAAAAUUCAGACGCUUUUCCGCUAUGCUUUAAACUAAAAAGGGACCCCGGGGCGUGAUAGUGUGUGUGUGUGUGUGUGUGUGUAUAGAGAGCCCGGCUAUGGUGCUUGUAAAAGUACCAACUACUUGUUACUUGUAAGUUUUUUACUGUUAGAUCUACGUCUUUAAUCAUUUUCAACCGUUAGAUUAUACUAUUCAACCAACUACCCACUCAACCCUAGGGGGCCCACAUCAUCCUCACCGUACAUUCCUUAAUCCAA